GCCUGGGUGGUUCAGUUGGUUAAACGUCUGGCUUCAGCUCAGAGCAUGAUCUCGCGGUUUGUGGGUUCAAGCCCCGCAUCGGGCC
rnacentral:tRNA from 1 species